rnacentral:rRNA from 1 species
UACGAAGGGGGCUAGCGUUGUUCGGAAUUACUGGGCGUAAAGGGCGCGUAGGCGGUGUGUCAAGUCAGGCGUGAAAGCCCCGGGCUCAACCUGGGAACCGCGCUUGAGACUGGCACGCUCGAGUUCGGGAGAGGAUGGUGGAAUUCCUAGUGUAGAGGUGAAAUUCGUAGAUAUUAGGAAGAACACCAGUGGCGAAGGCGGCUCACUGGCCCGGUACUGACGCUGAGGCGCGAAAGCGUGGGGAGCAAACAGG